UACGAAGGGUGCAAGCGUUAAUCGGAAUUACUGGGCGUAAAGGGUGCGUAGGCGGUUCGUUAAGUCUGUCGUGAAAUCCCCGGGCUCAACCUGGGAAUGGCGAUGGAUACUGGCGAGCUAGAGUGUGUCAGAGGAUGGUGGAAUUCCCGGUGUAGAGGUGAAAUUCGUAGAUAUCGGGAGGAACACCAGUGGCGAAGGCGGCGAUCUGGGAAGAUACUGACGCUGAGGUGCGAAAGCGUGGGGAGCGAACAGG
rnacentral:rRNA from 1 species